rnacentral:rRNA from 1 species
GUCUACGGCCAUACCACACUGAGCGCGCCCGAUCUUGUCUAAUCUUGGAAGCUAAGCAGGGUCGGGCCUGGUUAGUACUUGGAUGGGAGAAAAGUAAACUAUGUACCAAUCUGGAAAAAAGAUUUUCAUAAAAU